GAGUCCCAGUUGCUGGGCCAGAGCGGGCAGCGCCGCCUCGGGCCCGGCCGCCGCCGCCGCCAUCGUGCGCCUCGUCCCCGCUCCGCCCCCUGCCCCUGCCGCUCGGCCACACGUGGGAGGGCCCGGCGUGCGUGUGCGCGGCAUGGGACUCACAGGGGAUUUAGUUGCAAUUUUCCCAGCUUGAAAGAAAGGCCUGAAGCUGAAGGGGCUAUAUACAAGUACUCCAAACCGUAGGGAGGCCCAGACUCUCAUCUGAAUAAAAUAAAAGCUCUGUUCCAGCAUGUGUACUAUC